CCUACGGGUAGCAGCAGUCGAGAAUCAUUCACAAUGGGGGAAACCCUGAUGAUGCGACGCCGCGUGGGGGAUUGAAGGUCUUCGGAUUGUAAACCCCUGUCAUGUGGGAGCAAAUUAAAAAGAUAGUACCACAAGAGGAAGAGACUGCUAACUCUGUACCAGCAGCCGCGGUAAUACAGAGGUCUCAAGCGUUGUUCGGAUUCACUGGGCGUAAAGCGUGCGUAGGCUGUUUUGUAAGUCGUGUGUGAAAGGCGCGGGCUCAACCCGAGGAGGGCACAUGAUACUGGGAGACUAGAGUAAUGGAGGGGGAACCGGAAUUCGCGGUGUAGCAGUGAAAUGCGUAGAUAUCGAGAGGAAC
rnacentral:rRNA from 1 species